GUCCAGAUUUACAUCACGAAGCUGCAGACGCCCCUCCUGCGCAGUCUGCGGCUCUGCCUUUCAGACAGCGAGGGCUGCGGUUGUUUACGCAGUGUGGGUCUGAUUCUUUCUUACAGAAAGAAACAUAUUCACACAUAUUCAGAAGUCUGCACGGGAGCUAUCUAUUCUCUUGUCAGGGUCUUCAAGGAAUAUUUCAUCUAAUUUUUUCGGCUUCAAACUCCAAUCAUCAGGACGUUCCUUUUACUAUAAAUGGAAAUGAGUUGUUUCUCCACGUUGUUUGGUCUGCUGUUCUGGUUCUUGGUGCCAGUUUCAUCAGAAACAAAUGGAACCAGAGGGGCACCGCUGGUCCUUCAGUGCCAUCACAACCUCAGCGAAAAGUUCAUUCCUGAGCAAACCUCCAUAUACUGGCAAAGUAAUUCCAGCGUUCUUCAUGUUUUUUCAAAAGGACAAGAGGAAUUUCAACACCAAAGUGAGUCAUUUAAAAACAGGACUGCAAUUUUCCGCGAUCAACUGGCCUCUGGCAACUUCUCCCUUGUCAUCAAUCCGCUGAUGCUGAAAGACGAUCAGCUCAGCAUCGAAGUUGCUUACAUACCAGAAAGCAGGACGCUCUGCCAAACCACUGUUCAUGUAGCAGCUCGUUUUGAGAUGCCAAAUAUCGUGGUCAACACCAUAGAUAUGAUGGCUAUGUGUGCAACAAAGGGGGGCUUUCCUGAACCAGAGCUAUCAUGGAUCUCCGUGGACCACGAGGGACAUGAACGUACACUUGAACCACCUGAUGUCCAGACCCUUGAGAUCUACAAGGAAGAUGACGGCACCUACAGAGUUACCAGUACUGCCAACAUCAGAGGAUCACAGAAAGUUACAUGCAGCGUUUACAACCCAACUUCAAAGGAGACAUUGAGUGUAAUUAAAGACGUAAUUACAGAUGAAGGCUGGAGUCUGCCUUUGGGAGCUGUUCUUGGAGUACCGGUAAUACUUGCAGUAAUACUCGGAGCAGGAGCCACCAUUGGCUGCCGAAAAAGGAAAAGUCUGUAAACUUUUGAAUUUUGCUCCUUUUCCUUUGUAAUUAUUAAUUAUGUAAUUAAAUGUUUAAAAAUUGGUUACAUCAAAUACUGUGCGGAGGAUCAGUAACAGCAGUACUGAGUAAAAUGUAUGACUAUAUACAUCAUUAGAAAAUGACAAAGUGACUCUGACCCCUUAGCAAACUCUGGUUGCUGGGUAAAAAUGUGUUAUUACUUGAUUGGCUGGUGAGUGGUUGCUUGCAUUUGCUAUGAAAAAGAGAGUGCUACACCAUAAGGUUGCUGCACUUGCCUGUAGUUUGCAAGAAAGACGUCCACUUAUCUGCAAAUACUACCCAAAUACUCUUCGAGUUUUAAUGAAAGUGUGUAAAGUUUGACACAAACUGGAAACUGACAGUUUCCAUUUAAAGUAAAAAAAAAAAACACAUUUGCAAUGCUUGCAGACAAGUUGGUGUUUUUCAUGCAAUCACAAGGAUUUUUUUUGUGUGGCACCAUAUAUUUCUUUGCAACCGAUUUGACACUAGUGACUGGCAGCAACAACUGGACAACUGAGUACAUACUUAUUUUGCUUUUUUCUUCCUUUAAUUUGCAACCUCUUUGAGAGAAUGCACCAGGUUUAAACCGCUGUGGAAAAUUAGUAUCAAUCUCUUAAUUUUAGCUCACCUUCUGAAGCAGUUACCAAUGAAAGCUACAACACAAAGUUUGUGAGAGAGAAACAUUUCAGGGUGUAAAAUAACCUCAAACUAUAACUUCAUGAAGACCACUU
ensembl:lncRNA